AGCUUGGUAGCUCGUCGGGCCCAGCGCUUGUCAGCUCUUGUAAGACCAGGCGAAGGUCGUUGGUUCACAUCCAGCCCUCGCUACCA
rnacentral:tRNA from 1 species